rnacentral:rRNA from 1 species
GACCGAUAGUGAACCAGUACCGUGAGGGAAAGGCGAAAAGAACCCCGGCGAGGGGAGUGAAAAAGAACCUGAAACCGUGUACGUACAAGCAGUGGGAGCACAGAGCAAUCUGUGUGACUGCGUACCUUUUGUAUAAUGGGUCAGCGACUUAUAUUCUGUAGCAAGGUUAACCGAAUAGGGGAGCCGAAGGGAAACCGAGUCUUAACUGGGCGUUAAGUUGCAGGGUAUAGACCCGAAACCCGGUGAUCUAGCCAUGGGCAGGUUGAAGGUUGGGUAACACUAACUGGAGGACCGAACCGACUAAUGUUGAAAAAUUAGCGGAUGACUUGUGGCUGGGGGUGAAAGGCCAAUCAAACCGGGAGAUAGCUGGUUCUCCCCGAAAGCUAUUUAGGUAGCGCCUCGUGAAUUCAUCUCCGGGGGUAGAGCACUGUUUCGGCAAGGGGGUCAUCCCGACUUACCAACCCGAUGCAAACUGCGAAUACCGGAGAAUGUUAUCACGGGAGACACACGGCGGGUGCUAACGUCCGUCGUGAAGAGGGAAACAACCCAGACCGCCAGCUAAGGUCCCAAAGUCAUGGUUAAGUGGGAAACGAUGUGGGAAGGCCCAGACAGCCAGGAUGUUGGCUUAGAAGCAGCCAUCAUUUAAAGAAAGCGUAAUAGCUCACUGGUCGAGUCGGCCUGCGCGGAAGAUGUAACGGGGCUAAACCAUGCACCGAAGCUGCGGCAGCGACGCUUAUGCGUUGUUGGGUAGGGGAGCGUUCUGUAAGCCUGUGAAGGUGUACUGUGAGGUAUGCUGGAGGUAUCAGAAGUGCGAAUGCUGACAUAAGUAACGAUAAAGCGGGUGAAAAGCCCGCUCGCCGGAAGACCAAGGGUUCCUGUCCAACGUUAAUCGGGGCAGGGUGAGUCGACCCCUAAGGCGAGGCCGAAAGGCGUAGUCGAUGGGAAACAGGUUAAUAUUCCUGUACUUGGUGUUACUGCGAAGGGGGGACGGAGAAGGCUAUGUUGGCCGGGCGACGGUUGUCCCGGUUUAAGCGUGUAGGCUGGUUUUCCAGGCAAAUCCGGAAAAUCAAGGCUGAGGCGUGAUGACGAGGCACUACGGUGCUGAAGCAACAAAUGCCCUGCUUCCAGGAAAAGCCUCUAAGCAUCAGGUAACAUCAAAUCGUACCCCAAACCGACACAGGUGGUCAGGUAGAGAAUACCAAGGCGCUUGAGAGAACUCGGGUGAAGGAACUAGGCAAAAUGGUGCCGUAACUUCGGGAGAAGGCACGCUGAUAUGUAGGUGAAGUCCCUCGCGGAUGGAGCUGAAAUCAGUCGAAGAUACCAGCUGGCUGCAACUGUUUAUUAAAAACACAGCACUGUGCAAACACGAAAGUGGACGUAUACGGUGUGACGCCUGCCCGGUGCCGGAAGGUUAAUUGAUGGGGUCAGCGCAAGCGAAGCUCUUGAUCGAAGCCCCGGUAAACGGCGGCCGUAACUAUAACGGUCCUAAGGUAGCGAAAUUCCUUGUCGGGUAAGUUCCGACCUGCACGAAUGGCGUAAUGAUGGCCAGGCUGUCUCCACCCGAGACUCAGUGAAAUUGAACUCGCUGUGAAGAUGCAGUGUACCCGCGGCAAGACGGAAAGACCCCGUGAACCUUUACUAUAGCUUGACACUGAACAUUGAGCCUUGAUG